rfam:TPA: Bos taurus chromosome 5, whole genome shotgun sequence.
UCCCUGGUGGCUCAGAUGGUAAAGAAUCUGCUUGUGAUGCAACAGACCUAGGUUCAAUCCCUGGCUGAGGAA